rnacentral:rRNA from 1 species
CCUACGGGAGGCAGCAGUGAGGAAUAUUGGUCAAUGGGCGCGAGCCUGAACCAGCCAAGUCGCGUGAAGGAUGACUGCCCUACGGGUUGUAAACUUCUUUUAUAAAGGAAUAAAACGCGGCACGUGUGCCUUUUUGCAUGUACUUUAUGAAUAAGGCUCGGCUAACUCCGUGCCAGCAGCCGCGGUAAUACGGAGGUGCCGAGCGUUAUCCGGAUUUAUUGGGUUUAAAGGGAGCGUAGAUGGGUUGUUAAGUCAGUUGUGAAAGUUUGCGGCUCAACCGUAAAAUUGCAAUUGAUACUGGCAGGCUGGAGUACAGUUGAGGUAGGCGGAAUUCGUGGUGUAGCGGUGAAAUGCUUAGAUAUCACGAAGAACCCCGAUGGCGAAGGCAGCUUGCUAAACUGUGACUGACAUUGAUGCUCGAAAGUGUGGGUAGCAAACAGGAUUAGAUACCCGGGUAGUC